UAGACCUCUGCAGAAUGAGAAUGGAGCAGCAUUUGAGGACCUCCUUGGUGGCUCUGUGCCUUUGUUUUUUUUGGGUGAGUGGCAAAACCCAGGUGAAGCAGAGUCCUGGGUCCCUGACUGUCCUGCAGGGAGAGAACUGCACUCUUCAGUGCAAUUAUACCGUGAGUCCCUUUAACAACUUAAGGUGGUACCGACAAAACACAGGGAGAGGCCCCAUUUCCCUGAUGAUCAUGACCUACAAGGAAAGCAAAACCUCCACUGGAAGGUACACAGCAACCCUGGAUGAAAAUGCCAAGCACAGCUCCCUGUACAUCACAGACUCCCAGCCCAGCGACACUGCCUCCUACAUCUGUGUGGUGAGCGCACAGUGCUCCCUAGGCACUUGCAGCCGGUACCCAAACCUGCUCCUGGAGGCUGGCAAUGAG